rnacentral:rRNA from 1 species
AGCGAACGCUGGCGGCAGGCCUAACACAUGCAAGUCGAACGAACCUUUCGGGGUUAGUGGCGGACGGGUGAGUAACACGUGGGAACGUGCCUUUAGGUUCGGAAUCACUCAGGGAAACUUGUGCUAAUACCGCAUGUGCCCUUCGGGGGUAAGAUUUAUCGCCUUUAGAGCGGCCCGCGUCUGAUUAGCUAGUUGGUUGAGGUAAUGGCUCACCAAGGCGACGAUCAGUAGCUGUUCUGUGAGGAUGAUCAGCCACAUUGGGACUGAGACACGGCCCAAACUCCGACGGGAGGGAGCAGUGGGGAAUCUUGCGCAAUGGGCGAAAGCGUGACGCAGCCAUGCCGCGUGAAUGAUGAAGGGCUUAGGAUUGUAAAAUUCUUUCACCGGGGACGAGAAUGACGGUACCCGGUGAAGAAGCCCCGGCUAACUACGUG